UUUUUCAUUUCACUAUCGAUUUCUUCCACAUUGUGGUUAGAACAAAAAUUUGAAAAAAUUGAAGUGAAUAGUGAGAAAUCCAUGUUUGUGUUGAUAUCAUUUUUUAUGAGGUCAUUUCCUCUUCUUAGAGCCUAGGGUCAAACCUUAGGACUUCCUGUUGGACUCUCUUAGAGGACUAAUACUAUGACCCGCACCAGCUAGAAGUUUGACCCACUUCUUGACUCCUUGCAAUUUUAUAUGGGUGGUUUCAAAUCCUCUAUGCUUGGUUGAGUCGAUUAAAACCAACAUAUUAAAACUCAAGUCGAGUACCCAUAGGAUCUAAAGCCUCAGGAAACCCAUUGCGCCUUUCAGGCACAUUUACGAUACACACACACUCGCGAGAGACGAAUAACACAAUUCACACGUUCGAUGCAUAAAUAUAUCAAAAUUCACAUCAUCGACAUAUAUAAAAGGGGCUUCGUAAUUGAUCAAACUUAAAUCAGUCGUCGAAACUAUCGAUCAUGAACUAAAAUUUUAAGAAAAAUUGAAUUUGACGUAUUUUCAACCGGAUCAUCGACGAAAUUGUCCCGACAAUCCCAGAUGACGAAACAGACCACGCCGGUGCGUUCGAAAUGUUGAUUUUAGCUAGAUAGAACACUCAUUUUGAUAUAGCUUCAUGUGCGAGCGAAAAAUGCAUAAUGCUGGAGAUUUUAGGUAUUAAAUAUUCUUUUAUCUAUAUAUAUAUAUUAAAAAAAGCUUUCCUAAAUCCCUAAUCUCUUGUUCACACACCACCCGUGCCUCUCUGCUCAUCUCCCAAUCGCAAGCCAAGCCCUUGCCCCAGCUCUUCUCCCUCUGUUCGGUCGAAGCUGUCUCCUCCUCUUCGUGAUGGCUAGACCCGAGUGGAGCCCUACUCCUCGUAGCUUCCCCUUCACGACUCGCCCAACACCCUGCCCUCUGCCCAAAAUGCCUCUUCCUGAAGAUCUGUUUGGCGCACCGGUCUGCUUGCUGUGGGGCAUCGCCCCGCAAUAAUUUCUCAUUUGGAGCGGUUUCUCCAUCGCCGCAGGCGGCGAUUCAGCAGUAACGCGGAACGCGCUCAGUAAUUUCAGCCUCAAGCAACUGCUCUUCCAGCACCACUUACUGUUUGGAUGGUUAAUGCAUCAAAUGCUACUCCAAUGCCACAUCCAGCAAUGUCGGCCAGUCCCUUUGUCCUAGCUGCACCACCCAAUUCAGCUUUGGUUUUUCGAGCACACAACACUGUUUACUCCUACUGCACCUAAGGCUAGACCACACAUGCUGAGGUG